UACGUAGGUGGCAAGCGUUGUCCGGAAUUAUUGGGCGUAAAGCGCGCGCAGACGGUCCUUUAAGUCUGAUGUGAAAGCCCCCGGCUCAACUGGGGAGGGUCACGCGAUACUGAUCGACUCGAAGGCAGGAGAGGGUAGUGGAAUUCCCGGUGUAGUGGUGAAAUGCAUUGAGAUCGGAAAGAACACCAACGGCGAAAGCACUCUGCUGGGCCGACACUGACACUGAGAGACGAAAGCUAGGGGAGCAAAUGGG
rnacentral:rRNA from 1 species